UAUUCCAUGAUUCUGUGUUUCUCAGUGCUCUGUUUAGCUCAUGUUCAACUCACUCUUCAACAUUCCCAUCGUUCCUCAGUGAGGGCGCUGGGGAUGGUCCCAGUGUAACCCACAGCUCCUCCAGUCCCAGCCUGCCCACCACAGCUCCCUGUCCUGAGCUCCCCCUCAUUCACAACGAGGAGUGGAACWGCUCUGCUUCUAGCUGUUGACAUCCAUGGAAGAAAUUGUUUUGAGACCAAAUUAUUUCCUUGCAAAUAUACAAAUGAUCUGGGAAUAUGCAUUGCAUUGAGCGGCGUGGUGCAUCGACCGUAGCGAACGAGUUACACGGRUGAAGGGAAACACACAAUGUGCUUGACAAACCUGGAGCAAGCAGUGAUGGACGAGGAGGGAAAAGGUGGAUAACUGCAUCCUUAUGGGUUUAAAAGGUGCAUGAAAACCCAUCUCAGAGCAGCGUGGGCUUCUACACAGAGCAGAAAUGAAAUGAGCACCAGUCAAGGGUGGAAGAUCCAAUUGGUUCCACUCACYCACACUGGGAAGGCUCAGAAGGAGCUGCUUUGUAGAACCAGAGGAGGAAAUUGUGCCCACCAUYCCUGCUGGAGCCUUCAGGCUACCAGACAGCUCAUCCAGCACAGGAUUUGCUYUUUCACCACAGGAGCAGUUACAUUUCAUUUAAGAUGAUUUCUUUGAUCCCUGCUCUCGGCUGAAGCCCAGCAUUGGUGCAUUCCCUGUUCCCUGCUGGACUUGGACUGCUGCAGCUGAAGAUGUCUCAGGAACAGAUGGAUCCACUCAGUUUUGUACUUGCAUGGAGGGGACUGUGCCAUGCAGAGAUUUUAUUCCUUUGAAUUUUUAAUUGGGCAGCAGAGAGGGCUGCACAGCUGCACAUUGUAGCCCCUCUGCAGAUCCAUUAAUGGAUUUUUAUUCCUGUGCCCAGACUGUGGCAUUGUUAGUCUGCCAGUCAGAACAGCAACCAGGCAACUUGAAAACAAAAACCCGUAAUCCCACUGGAUCCCAAGAUUAAAUGAGUAAGAAUUCAUUGUUUUCCAUCUUUCUCCUCAGCCCUUUCUAUCAGAUGUAACCAGAUUGAAGCCAGCCCUUCCAUCAAAGCACUCAAGAGGGGAUUGAAUUAAUGAGCUUUAAAUAGACAUAUUGCUUUGUUUUCUAGAGGAAAACCAGAACAUUCAGGCAACUUUGAUUUUCCUAAUAAUUAGUUACAUUUGUUUUUACUGAGUCUCUGUUCAAGGGAUUCAGAGUUCCAACCUGUAACUGGGAAGUGGCUGGGAAUCAGCAGGUCYUGCCUGUUCCCAUCACUGCAAUUCCACACCAAGGUCACUUCACCCUCUCCCUCUUCCUGUUUGUAGUGAAGCUGAUUCCUUUGGGAAAAGCCUUUGGCAAUCUAAGGGCAACAGAUUAAAUAUGUAAGAGUAUUAUUAUUAAAGACUAGUGCCAAAAGUCACACAUUCAGAGAGGAAUGCAGCGUGGUGCAAAACAGUGAUUAAGAAACUACAACCAUGCAAACAGUGGGACACUAAAUAGUUUUAAACUGAGCAACUAUGAAAUGAGAAUCAAAUGCAGUUGAAAAUGAAGAGUGGUAAAUCUGGCCAUGUUUUCAUUUCCUUUCAAAUGUGCAAACUGGGAAACUAUAAAUUGUGAUGGAGGGAAAGGACAGAAGAGAAAAAAUUGGUGCAAGACAAGGUGGAGCUUAGGGAGAUCCAUCCAAGGUGGGUUUAGAGAGCUGAGCACAAAUGGACAGCGUGAUCAGUGGGUGCCUGGUAGUGCAGGACAUUGAAAAGAUCAGCACUUGGCARAGGGGCAGAUGUGGCACUGAGGGACACGGKCCAGGGCUGGCCUUGGCAGKGUCAGGUUUAUAUUUGGA